AUGGACGUCCACAGGGCAGAGUCUCCCCAUACAGGAGCCGCUACUCUAGACCCCCGACGGGCCGAGGCCGCCAACAGGCACGUGAGGGCACUAAAUACCCAGUUUGCAAGCUGGGUGCAAUCGCAGUUGCAAAACCAUCCAGCUGAACUUUGGGAGGAUGGCGUGAAAGAUUACUUAUCCCAUGCUUCUGAAAUAAUGGAAAAUUUCAAGGAUGUUGUCAAUUGGCUUAGGCAGAAUAAAUCAGGUACAACAGCUGUUUCAUCCCCAAGUCCAGCCAAUGAGGAGAAGACUACUAUGCCGGCAACUGUCAAUAGCAAGUUUAUGGUACAGCCAGGAUCAGAUAAUGGACAGAAGAGUCCAACUACAGGAGCCAGCUCCCUAGCUUUUCAGAACUCAAGCUCACCGAAUAUGUUCUCACUCCCUUCUCAGAAGAAAACGGCACCUUUUGGCGGCAUAUUUGAUAACAAGGACACUCCUGGCGACAGCAGCAAAUCGACUUUCCAGUUUGGUGGAAAUAACGCCUUUUCAACACCAACUAACACGCCUGGUGAUAGCAGCAAAUCGACUUUCCAGUUUGGUGGAAAUAACGGCUUUUCAACACCAACUACUCCGUCCAUUUUUUCUACCCCUGGUUCCAGUUUUAACAUGCCAACCUCAACACUGUUUUCAAUGAACCAGCAACCAAUUUUCACUGGAUCAGGAAACAACAAAGCUGCUGAAGCUUCAGCUGAUGCGGAUGAAGAUGCUGAAGCCGAGCAACCAAGCAGCCCUUCUGUAAAGAAAGCAGAAGAGAAAGGAAUAGUUGUUGUUCAUGAAGCCAAAUGCAAGGUGUAUGUGAAGCACGAUGAUGCUACCAAGGGUUGGAAAGACAUUGGUGUUGGUCAGCUCUCUAUCAGAUGUAAAGAGGGUGCAGAGAAAGCUUCGAAAGAGUCCACCCCAACAGUUGUUAUCAGAAAUGAUGUCGGCAAGAUUCUUCUGAAUGCUAUGAUCUACAAGGGGAUAAAAAUGAGUGUUCAAAAGAACACGGUUGCCUCGAUAUUUCACACUUCAGAUGCGCAGUCUGAAUCAGAUGGUGGCAAUGUUGUAGCUCGAACAUACUUACUCCGACUGAAAAACGAAGAGGCGGCUACAAACUUGUCAGCGGUGAUCAAAGAGAAUGCGCCGCUGGACUGA
rnacentral:rRNA from 1 species